UGGCACAGCUGGCUGCCCGCGGAGCUCACGAGCACGUCACUGCAACCCCCCCUGGCUUCUGCUCCGCGGCUGCUGAGUGACCCCUCAUCUGGGACUCUCCUCAGCUCUUUCUGGGACAGUGGCGCGGCUGCCCCUCUGUUGGUCUUCCUUGGUCUCUUGUGCUCUGAGGGCCUCUGGAUGUCUGGAGCCUGGAUCUCCUCCAUACCUGCUUCAUGCCCAGGAGGACGGGGCUGUGGCCCCCCACACCCUCUAGCAGAUCAUUACAUGAAGGAACCUUUUAAAUACAAGCGCGCUCAUGCUCACAGGUGUACACACGGGUGCUCACACACACAAACUACACCCUUUUUGGCUCCUACCUCAAAGCACACUGUGCGCUGUUGAUCUCACGUGCUGCACAAUAAUGUUUAAUAUUUAGUAUUUACUGUCAUAUUCCCAUAUAUCAUCGUGAUAUUGUUUAUUACUCUCGUUUUCUCCUGCUUGCUUUCUUUUUUCUUUCUCAACAGGUGAUCCAGGUGAUCGAUAUAUGUAUUUUUUGUCUGCUUAUUAUGUUGGUUUUUAUUUUUUGCCCUUUAUCACCGUCCCUCUUCUCAGCUGUUUUUCUUUCCCUCUUUCUUUCUCCCCUUUCUUUUCCCCAGUCAAGUCUGUCCCGUAUUCAGCAAGUGAAAAUAAAAUAAACAAUAAAAGGUGAAUCAAAUAGACCAUUACGGCAAGGCUGGGAUGGUCAAUUUGGUAAAGUAAAUCCGUUGAUAGGCAUCUUUCUUCGCCUUUAGACAACAAUUCUGAUGGCAAAAGAGCCAAAUGGGACAGGCAAAAAAAAAAGAAAAAAAAAAAGAUUAUAAUAGCAAAUAAUUUGAUGUGAUUCUCUAGUUCAAACGAUUAGUGUGUGAUUGUCAGUGCAAAGAAGGAGUAAGGAGGAUGUUAAGAGCAGGAAGAACCAGGUGAGUUGUCCACUCGCCUGGUUCUUCCAGGUGAGUUGUUAGGUGUUUUUCCACCUAACUUCCUCAGUUAGGUGGAAAAACGUUUUUUCUCAAAAUAACCUGACAUGCAUUUCAUGGGUGCAUUUCAGUAGCUAUGAUAUGAAUGGUAGCAUUUAAUAGGUUACAUAUUACACUAAACAUGGCUGGAAAAAAAAGGUUGGCUUGAUAUCCUGUAAAUCUUCACAAUAAAUGGAGGGUGUGAGAAAUCAAAAUGCAUGUUAAAGCAGUGCAGCUAUAUUAUAGCUACUAGUAUUUGUAAAUUUAAGGACAUAAAGGUUAUAUUUGUCCUUUUGUUUAUAGGGUUCGAUUGCUGCCACACCCUCUCAGUGACCAAUCGCCUGAUUUUAAGUGAAGAGUUGAGACACCUGCCUAGCUGCUGUUUCGGGGCUCCUCUGCAGUGGAGCUGCUGUCUUGUCUUGUUUUGUCUUGUGUUCUGUUCUGUUGGCUGUCCAGUUUUGUUCCUGCAGCUUUGCCUCGCCUCUGGGGGCUUUGGGUCUCACUUUAAGCCCCUUCUGGACGAUUGUUUGCACUCCAGCUUCCGCGGCUGGCUAGGGCGUUCCUCAGCUGCAUAUCGGGCUGGUGCUACAAAACUGGUACUGCCUCCCCUGGUUGCUCCCAGUUUGUGGGGAGCUGCACGAGACUGAGUGGGCCUACGGACAAUCGGAACCAGCACCAGCUGUGGGCUGGCUCGCAGAGUCGAACUGAGGAUCUACCAGCGGCCGUGGACCUCAGGUGGCGGGUCGUUUUCCACACUUCCUUUGUUGUACAGCACCGGAUGAAUAGACUAUAGAGGGGUUUUUUGUGUGGUUUUCUUUUUGGUCCACCGCUGCUGUGAACACAUCCGAGAACAACGUGGAGUUCAGUGUCUUGCCCAGAAAUACUUUGGCUUGCAGAGUGGAGCAGCCAGGGAUCACACCACCUCUACAUCCAGUGUGGAUAGUUCUGGACUGCUGAGCUUGACCACACAGCGAGCUGGUUUAGUAGAGUCCUGGUCUGUCAACCUUCGGAAGUGCUCGGCCUCCCAGAGACUGGUGACUGUUAUACUGAGUAGUACUUUUUGUAAUGCUGAGCAUCAGAUUAGUUUUUUCCUUUGCUGUGGAGGUAUGGUCAAUGUAUGGAUACGUCUGUAAGACUUAAGCAUACAUACUGGCACCC